rnacentral:rRNA from 1 species
CGCAUCUGUGCAUGCAGCAUAUCAAUAAGCGGAGGAAAAGAAACUAACAAGGAUUCCCCUAGUAACGGCGAGUGAAGCGGGAAGAGCUCAGAUUUGAAAUCUUAAAGGGUUUCCCUUUACGAAUUGUAGUUUAAAGAAGUGUUUUCUGUUGAGGUUUUGGUAAAAGUUCUUUGGAAUAGGACAUCAUAGAGGGUGAGAAUCCCGUAUUUGACCUUCACUUUCAACUUUGUGAUACCCUUUCAAAGAGUCGGAUUGUUUGGGAAUGCAGUCCAAAAUGGGUGGUAAAUUUCAUCUAAAGCUAAAUAUUGGCGAAGACCGAUAGCGAACAAGUACCGUGAGGGAAAGAUGAAAAGAACUUUGAAAAGAGAGUUAAACAGUACGUGAAAUUGUCAAAAGGGAAGCGUUUGACACCAGUGUUGUUUUUCUGAAAAUCAAUUAAAGAACUGUUUAUGCUAAGUUGUUUAGACUUUAUCAGCUAUCUGUUUAGUUUUGAGCUUUUCUUUAAUGCACUUUUCAGUUAACAAGUCAACAUCAAUUUCUUUUGCUGUAAAAAAGCUUGAGGAAGGUGGCUUGAGAUUCGUCUUAAGUGUUUAUAGCCUCUUGCCUAUGCAGUCGGAGAGAUUGAGGUCUGCAGCGUAGAUCCUUCGGGGCUAAAUGCAUUUGUGCUAAGUUAUAGCAUUUUAUAGACAACUUGUUGACUAUGAUUUGUCUUGUAGCUUACUCGCUUAUGUUAUUUUACCUACGCUUAGGAUGUUGAACGCGCACAGAGUCUC